UCAAAUAAGCUACUGACACCGGAGGUAGAUUGACAACAAUAAGGCUACAAAUAAUCAUGUCCGUGGAAAAGUUGCGAGAGUUUUAAGAUCCAUAACUACUUUCUGAUGUUUGCUGAUUUUCUUAUGGAUGAAGAUACUAUGAGACGCCUUUUUGUCAUGGUGCACUUCGCAGUGAAAACAGUCAAGCAAGUAAAAUAACAAGACCUCACUGCGUUAUUUAUUCUAUAAAUUAAAAUACAACUGAAAAUAUAAGAUCUGGUUAUUAUUAUAAAUAUUUUAAUCAAGUAUGAUAGGUUACUUCUGUACUGUCAUAAUUCAUUAAUUAGUUUUAAGAAAUAUUUUAAUAUUAAGUGAUGACUGUGAUGAGUGAUACUAGCCCUGACCAAUGUUCACUGUAUUAUUAGUAAUGUGUGUAGCUAUACAGUGUGAGUCACGUUAAAGUGUACAUAUGAAAAUAGAUGAAACUAGACUUAUUUUUAUCGACAAAAAAGAGGUCAAAAAUUUUUUGAGAUGUUUUUUUUUAUAGAUUUUUUUUUUCUUCCAAUUACUUAUUGUAAAGAAAACGUAAUAAAUUUUAAACUAAGCGGUAUAUCCUGAUAAAAUAAAAACAGUAAUAAUGCUAAAUAACAGGCAAUACUAAAAAAUACAUAAAAAUACACAAAAAAGGCCAACAAAUAAUAAAAAAUGAUACUUUUUGAAAAAAAUCUGCUUUUAAAUUCGUGUUUUUUGGUUAUUUGAUAAAUUUCUCCAAAAAAUGCCCCUAUAACCGGUGGUUUUUAUUACUUUGUAUUAUUCUCUAUCGUAUUAUCUUCGUAAAACCAAAAAUCGCAUGUCUCUAUCCCUAUCACAACAUUUGCUAUGAUCGUUUGAACAAAGGCCUGCCACAACAUUAUUCUCCGCUACAGGUAGAGACAACUUUAAUUUUAACUAAAAUGCUUAUUUUACUUCGAAAUAUUUUGUUUUUAUUUGAAAUCUAACUUGUCUUUAUCAAAAUUACAAAUCUAGAGCCAUUUUCAGUUUCGUUGUUAACGAAGCGUUGAAUGGCGCGCCCGGAGAGGCUUAAUUCAAACGAUCAUUGCAAACGUUGUGAUAGGGAUAGAGACAUGCGAUUUUUGGUUUUACGAAGGUAAUACGAUAGAGAAUAAUACAAAGUAAUAAAAACCACCGGUUAUAGGGGCAUUUUUUGGAGAAAUUUAUCAAAUAACCAAAAAAAACACAAUUUUGUUAGCAGAUUUUUUUCAAAAAGUAUCAUUUUUUAUUAUUUUUUGGCCUUUUUUGUGUAUUUUAUGUAUUUUUUUAGUAUCGCCUGUUAUUUAGCAUUAUUACUGUUUUUAUUUUAUCAGGACAUACCGCUUAGUUUAAAAGUUAUUACGUUUUCUUUACAAUAAGUAAUUGGAAGAAAAAAAAUUCGAUAAAAAAUUAAAAAAAAAUCUCAAAAAAAAUUUGACCUCCUUUUUGUCGAUAAAAAUAGGUCUAGUUUCAUCUAUUUUCAUAUGUACACUUUAACGUGACUCACACUGUAUUAAUUAUGUAGGUACCUAUGUUAAGUUAUUAAAUUUUGAUUUAUCUGUGAUAAUGAAAUUGAUUAAUUAGAUUUACUAAGAGAGUGAUAAGUGAUACCCGACCCGACCGUGGAUCACCUGUAUUCUUUUACACAGUAAAGCACAGUAAAGUAUAGGUACCUGAUUAAUUAGUUUUAAGAGGUAGGUAUAUUGAUUGUUAUUAAAUUUUAGUGGCAAAGUUCCUUAUGUUAAAAUUAUAUUUUUUAUUGAAUAAGUGAUGAGUGAUACCCGAUAAGAACGUGGAUCACCACAUUUCUAUAAGUAAAGUGUGCCUACUAAGUUAUUAAAAGUUGAUCGAUGUGUGAUAUUAAUUGAACUGAUUAAUUAGUUUUACGAAGUAUAUUGAUUGUUACUUUAGUGUUAAAGUUCCUUAUAUUAUAAUUUGUCUUCAAA